rnacentral:lncRNA from 1 species
CUUGAUGAUGAUCAGUGGACUUAGCAGCCACAGCACUAGAGACAAGAACAGGGCCAGGUAAUAUGCCAGCCAGUAGGGAAUAUAGUACUUGGGUGCAUCGUAGUUCAAGCCAGUCAAGAUACGGGACAUGAAAGCCCAGAAAGGGAUUGGUUCAUCAUUUGUGAUAUGAAAUGCCUUCCCACACACAGGAGAGUCUUUUCGAAGGUGUUCUGCAGCCAGGAUAUGUCCAUGGACCACAUUUUCCACAUAGGUGAAAUCUACCAAGU